CGAACGGGAAUUAUUUUAUUGAAACUUCGGUCGAUUUAAUUUAAUUCUAGUGGCGGACGGGUGAGUAACGCGUGGGUAACCUACCUUAUACAGGGGGAUAACAGUCAGAAAUGACUGCUAAUACCGCAUAAGCGCACAGGACCGCAUGGUCCGGUGUGAAAAACUCCGGUGGUAUAAGAUGGACCCGCGUUGGAUUAGCUAGUUGGUGAGGUAACGGCCCACCAAGGCGACGAUCCAUAGCCGGCCUGAGAGGGUGAACGGCCACAUUGGGACUGAGACACGGCCCAGACUCCUACGGGAGGCAGCAGUGGGGAAUAUUGCACAAUGGGGGAAACCCUGAUGCAGCGACGCCGCGUGAAGGAAGAAGUAUCUCGGUAUGUAAACUUCUAUCAGCAGGGAAGAAAAUGACGGUACCUGACUAAGAAGCCCCGGCUAACUACGUGCCAGCAGCCGCGGUAAUACGUAGGGGGCAAGCGUUAUCCGGAUUUACUGGGUGUAAAGGGAGCGUAGACGGAUGGACAAGUCUGAUGUGAAAGGCUGGGGCUCAACCCCGGGACUGCAUUGGAAACUGCCCGUCUUGAGUGCCGGAGAGGUAAGCGGAAUUCCUAGUGUAGCGGUGAAAUGCGUAGAUAUUAGGAGGAACACCAGUGGCGAAGGCGGCUUACUGGACUGUAACUGACGUUGAGGCUCGAAAGCGUGGGGAGCAA
rnacentral:rRNA from 1 species